rnacentral:rRNA from 1 species
UACGGAGGGUGCAAGCGUUAUCCGGAUUCACUGGGUUUAAAGGGUGCGUAGGUGGGUUGGUAAGUCAGUGGUGAAAUCUCCAGGCUCAACUUGGAGACUGCCAUUGAUACUAUUAAUCUUGAAUACCGUGGAGGUCAGCGGAAUAUGUCAUGUAGCGGUGAAAUGCUUAGAUAUGACAUAGAACACCAAUUGCGAAGGCAGCUGGCUACACGAAUAUUGACACUGAUGCACGAAAGCGUGGGGAUCAAACAGG